GACAGUGUGGUACAGUGGUUUGAGCAUUGGACUAUGACUAGAAACCAAGGUUCGAAUCCCUGCUCAGCCA